rnacentral:rRNA from 1 species
GUAGGUGGCAAGCGUUGUCCGGAAUUAUUGGGCGUAAAGCGCGCGCAGGCGGUCCUUUAAGUCUGAUGUGAAAGCCCACGGCUCAACCGUGGAGGGUCAUUGGAAACUGGGGGACUUGAGUACAGAAGAGGAAGGCGGAAUUCCAAGUGUAGCGGUGUAAGGCGUAGAGAUUUGGAGGAACACCAGUGGCGAAGGCGGCUUUCUGGUCUGUAACUGACGCUGAGGCGCGAAAGCGUGGGGAGCAAACAGGAUUAGAUACCCUGGUAGUCCACGCCGUAGACGAUGAGUGCUAAGUGUUAGGGGGUUUCCCGCCCCUUAGUGCUGCAGCUAACGCAUUAAGCACUCCGCCUGGGGAGUACGGCCGCAAGGCUG